GGCACGCGGUAAGGCGGUGCGGGAUGCGGUGUGUGCCGCUGCUCCAGCGCGGCGUGGGGGCGGUGUGAUGGAAAGGAGGUUUUCAGUGGUGUCGAAUACAUUGUGCCUUAAGCACUUCAUGGAAGGACUAUCACAAGUCAAAGAAUACUUGGUACACACAAGUGGAUUUUCCUGAAAGACAUACUGGCAUGAACAAUUUCUAGUAAUGGCAACAUGACAUGUCCUGAAGAGAUACUUCCUUGCAACAGGAAAUAAAACAGAGGAAAACGUGUUUUAUAGAACACAAGUAGGAACAAGUGCUUUUGGCUUUUUCAGUGAUGAAUUGAAACAAAUUGAAACACUCUGUCAGAACUGCCUAACAAAUGUGGAUGAUGUGACCAGGAGUGUAACCUGAAGAGAUAUUGUGACUUGGAGUGGGAUGCCAUGCUUUUAAAAGCCUUCUGAAACAGCUGCAUUUUUUUUCAGUAUAUAAUGUCUUAAGAAAGAGUGUGUAGAGCAGAACAAAAUUACUGUCUCUGCAUAUCUAAAACACUGUGUUUCCAAAACACUUUCUUCUCUAGGAAGUGUAGCAGUACUGGGGAAAGGAGUGUUGAGCUUCAGUACAUGGAAAACCCCUUGAUUAUUUAAGACAAUGUCUUCAGCUUGCAUCACUGUAUCUAGUGAGGGAGUGAGGAGUUGGGGUUUUACAGAUUGUCACUUCAGUAGAAGACUAACACCACAACACUGGAACUGCCCUUUGUGGAAUACACUGGCAGCAGUACUUGCUUGCUCCCUGGGGAAAGAGAGUUACAUACAUUAGAACUUGGGCUUUGAACAGUUGCUUGAAAAGUACUGGUGCUAUAAUCACAGUAGCAGCAUGUUUGCUGUAUUCAGCAAACUAUGCUUUCCACAGAUGAAUGAAGGAUCAUAAAUUGGUCACCAAGUAAAUUUGAAGACAGCUCAUGGUGUGCAUAAGAUGAAAUUGGCCUUGAAGCAUGACUUUCAAGCCUUAUUGUCAGGAAUUCUUUAUAAAGGCAGAAACAUGAGAAUAGCAUAAGUAAAGAAUUCAUAGACCUGUUAUUACUGAAUCGUUUUGAAAUGGUCCGAAUCAAUGACAAGUUCUAUGUAAAGUCAGAUUUUCUGUCAAAGUAGUGAGAAGUAUAAACACUACUUAGGAGUAGCACAUAAAGCAUUGGAAAUGUCAAAAAUAAGUAUCCAUCAGGCUACUACAGUAGAUGCCAAGGAUCCAGCUGAACUCCAGGAAUGCAUCGGCUCAGUGAGCAUCUCCUGUGGUUUGCUUAUUAAGCAGUGGCCAGCUACUUCGGCUCAAGGCUUCUCUUUUGAGCAAGGAAUGGUAUAUCAGUCUAUUGAAUAUCAAGAUCUGCAAAAAUAAACAGAAAAUAGCCUUAUCUUCAUUGCUUUCAAUAGUAAUUUUUUUUCUGUUAACAAAUGUUACUGAGAGUGGUGCAUAUUUUCGUGUGCUGUGUUUUGUGCAUGCUUUUGAAUAAAGAGAAGGAUGUUGAA